rnacentral:sRNA from 1 species
UGCGUCACCCGCCCGCACCUGGGUGGUUCGAAAAGGGGGAUCGAUUCUAUGGAGAAAGCCUCUCCGUUCCAAGCCACCUGGUCGUGGCGAGCGUUCAUCGCCUGC